rnacentral:rRNA from 1 species
UACGUAGGGUGCGAGCGUUAAUCGGAAUUACUGGGCGUAAAGCGUGCGUAGGCGGCUUUGUAAGCCAGAUGUGAAAUCCCCGGGCUUAACCUGGGAAUGGCAUUUGGGACUGCAAGGCUGGAGUGUGGCAGAGGAGACUGGAAUUCCCGGUGUAGCAGUGAAAUGCGUAGAUAUCGGGAGGAAUACCGAUGGCGAAGGCAGGUCUCUGGGCUGACACUGACGCUCAUGCACGAAAGCGUGGGGAGCAAACAGG